rnacentral:lncRNA from 1 species
UGGCAGCAUGGGAGAGGCAGAGGUUACGACAGGGGGCGAUGGUGUGGGAGAGGCAAGAGUUCCACCGAGAGCAAGCGGAUAAGAAAGAGGGGUGGGAAGGAAAAAGACGGGAAAACGGACAGGGAAGGAGAGAAAGGAAAAAGGAAAUAAAAAGAAAAAUACAAUGGUAUCUAGGUAUUUGACAGUUUUCUAUAUAUUGCAAAAUUAGGAGAAGUGAUUUUAUCAAAUAUUUUUCUAGUUAGACAAUCUAGAGUCAAAUAAAACUACUCCACCAGAGAAGUGAGCGUCGAAACCAUUUUCACGUGAAGCAGAUUCAUACCAAACAGUGCUUAAAAACAAGACCCUACAAACUCCUGGUACUACCUCCAUAGUCUGUAGGAUAUUUUUUUGUUGUGGAUGACUAUAUUUUAAGAUAGUGUUUGGUUGGACAUUUUGUAUCGUAAUCAGAUUACACCAGUAACCAAAUUCCAGUUAAAUGUGUUUGGUUCGAUACACUCCAUGA